UUAAGAAUAUAAUGAUGACCAUGAAUUGAUUGCCAAAUGUCAGAAAAACUCAGCUGGGUCACUGAUGUGCUUUAGGGAAGGAAACUGCCACCCUUGCAUGAUCUGGCCUACAUGUGACUGCAGACCCACAGCAAUAUGAUUGACUUUGAACUGUCCCCUAGGCAAUUAGGGAUGGACAAUAAACACUGCGUAGCUAGGGAUGUCCUCCUCCCAUGAACAAAUAAAUAAAAUUGGAUUCUACAUCUUCCGAUCCAAGAUCAUUUCUUGCUCUCAUAGUAAUUUCUUUGCUUACAGUCACUUUCCCUCCUGCCUGUCUUUUUGGAAUGUCGUAUAGCCCUGCGCACUUAGCUCCAGUGUUGAUCUCCUUGUAACCAUGUCUUUGUAAUAGCUAUAAAAUCAUGCCCGUCAACCUAGAAAUGUGCUAUUAAUUUGUUGAUUUUGUUCUGAAUACAAUGAGCACGCAAGCAAAGAGCCAUGAAUUUAGCUUUAUCACUUGAUUUCACCUCUUGACACUAUUUACAGCUGUUUUCUGUUUGUACAUGCUGUCUUUUCCAGUACCACGCUGAGUAUUGUUAUCCCGAUAGUUCUUUCGUAUCAGUCCGUGUGUAUUCCUGGGCGAAUGUGCUCGUGUGGUCUCAGGAGUUGCGGAAGUCACGGCUCUGGGACAGCCGUUUCAUGGCCCUAUGCUGCAGGAAAAAAGCAAUGAAAGUGCCGUUAAUUUUUUGCAUGGCGAGCUGCUGCAUACGAACCGGUCUCACACCAUUACCAUCACCUUGCCCUUGUGAAGGCAGAUAUGGAUAAGGUUCUCAAAGCUGAUAGAAGAUUGAAACCACUCUAAUCCUGUGAUGAUGAACCUGCCCCGGAAGAGAGAGCCCAGAGAAUUGCCAAAGCUGUCCGCAAACAGUCAACAGAAGUGAAGGAAAAUUGGGAACAACUGAAAAUCCGUGCGAGCAACUGGCAGAAACAGGUGGAAAAGGGCGUUGGAGAAACUUCAAGAACUGCAGAAAGCUCUGGAUGAUCUUGAGGCUCAUGUGAGAACAGCUGAGGGGGUCCACACUGGCAACCUGUGGGUGACCUGCUUAUUGACGCAUUGCAGGAUCACAUUGAUAAAACCACAGGGAAGGACUAUCUGCAAAAUCUGAGAUUGGGUUUUCAAAGACAGCAGCCUUUGUUUUGGAGAGAUAAUGGGAACUGCAGAUGCUGGAGAAUGCGAGAUAACAACGUGUGGAGCUGGAUGAAGACAGCAGGCCAAGCAGCAUCUUAGGAGCAAAAAAGCUGAUGUUUCGGGCCGAAAACCUUCUUCAGAAAAUGGGGAGGGGGUGCGGGUUCUGGAAUAAAUAGGGAGAGAGGGGGAGGCGGGUGGAAGAUGGAUGGAGGAGAAGAUAGGUGGAGAGGAGAGUAUGGGUAGGGAGGCAGGGAGGGGAUAGGUCAGUCUGGGGAGGGGAAAUAGGGGUGCGGCAUGAGGUGGGAGGGGGGAUGGGUGAGAGGAAGACUAGGUUAGGGAGGCGGGGACGAGCUGGGCUGGUUUUGGGAUGCAGUGGCAGGACAGGAGAUUUGGAAGCUUGUGAAAUCCACACUGAUACCAUUGGGCUGCAGGGUUCCCAAGCAGAAUAUGAGUUGCUGUUCCUGCAACCUUGGGGUGGCGUCAUUAUGGCACUGCAGGAGGCCCAGGUUGGACGUGUCCUCUCAGGAAUGGGAGGGGGAGUUGAAAUGGUUCGUGACUGGGAGGUGCAGUUGUUUAUUGCAAACUGAGCGCAGGUGUUCUGAAAAGCGGUCCCCAAGCCUCUGCAUCGUUUCCCCAAUGUAGAGGAAGCCACAACGGGGACAGCGGAUGUUUUGGAUAUUUCUUUAGCAUUGAUUUUCAUUCAGAGUUGGUUGGAUUUUGCUGAAGCAAUAGACAUAACUCACUAUGACGUAGACAAUGUCAGAGUUAAUGUUUCGCGUCCUGUGACCCUUCCUCAGAUCUCACUCUUCACUGAUGCUGCCAGACCUGCUGAGCUUUUCCAGCAACUUCUGCUUUUGUUGCUGAUUUACAGUGCCCACAGUUCUUUUGUUUUUUACAACACAGACAAAACUUGAUCUCUGCAGGAAGCAUGAUGCUGCAUUCUCCAACUUCCCUGGCCUUUUGUAAUAUAAUACUGUCUUUUUAGGACAGAAGUGGCUUUUUUUUGUUUGUUUUAAUUUCUGCACAUGCUUUCUAUGCAGGUUAAAAGUCUACACCUUUUCAGUUCACUGCAGUGCUGCAUAAUGAAGACUUGGAACAAUUUUUUUAUAUAAAGUGGAAAAUCAGUGUGGUUUGUUUUCCAAAAUGUGAUGUCUUUCCUGGAGCAAGUCUGUUUUCCUUCGGAUGAGACGACUUUCAGACAUACUCGGUUUAUUAUGAGAUUUAAUUGGGGUAAAAUGAGGAGGAUUUUUAUUCACUGAGACACACAUGACUAUAUGUUGAAAGCAUUGGAAAAUGCACUCUGUUAGGACUGUCAUGUUAUCUGGUGUUUGUACCAGGCUUUCCGAUUAAAUGCAAGUGAUUAAGGAUGCUAAUGAUGCCACAUGUUAUUACAAGAGGAAAUGAACAUCCAAGUAACGAUUUUAUGCCACAUUUAUGCAUAGCAUGGACCAUGCAGAAUGGAUGCCGGGACGGAGUGAAGUGGGAUGCAGUGCCUCAGUGAGAUGCUCACAGCGAAUUGCCCCCUCCAUCCUGACCCGCUCACAGCGACUUGCCCCUCCAGUCCAGACCCGCUCUCAGCGACUUUCCCCCUCUGUCCUGACCCGCUUGCAGCGAAUUGCCCCCUCUGUCCUGACCCGCUCGCAGCGACCUGCCCCUGCAGUCCUGACCCGCUCACAAUGACGAGCCCCUGCAGUCCUGACCCGCUCACAGUGACGAGCCCCUGCAGUCCUGACCUGCUCACAGCGACUUCUCUCUGCAGUCCUUUCCCGCUCACUGCGACACGCCCCUUCAGUCCUGUCCCAAUCACAGGGACUUGCCCUCUCCGUCCUCACCCACUCACAGCGACUUGCCCACCUCAGUCUUGACCCGCUCACAGCCGUCUCCCCCCUCUGUCCUGACCCCCUCACAGCAACCUACCCCUCCUUGCUGACCCGCUCACAGUGACUUGCCCCUGCAGUCCUGACCCCCCUCACAGUGACCUGCCCCCUCACUCCUGACCCGCUCUGCAUUGAGGAAACCAAGCGGAGGCUUGGGGACCGCUUUGCAGAACACCUCCGCUCGGUUCGCAACAAACAACUGCACCUCCCAGUCGCGAACCAUUUUAACUCCCCCUCCCAUUCCUUAGACGACAUGCCCAUCAUGGGCCUCCUGCAGUGCCACACUAAUGCCACCCGAAGGUUGCAAGAACAGCAACUCCUCAUCCGCUUGUGAACUCUGCAAUCCAAUGGUAUCAAUGUGGACUUCACAAGCUUCAAAAUCUCCCCCUUCCCAACUGCAUCCCAAAACCAGCCCAGUUCUUCCCCUCCCGCUACUGCAUCACAAAACCAGCCCAGCCUGUCUCCGCCUCCCUAACCUGUUGUUCCUCUCACCCAUCCCUUCCUCCCACCUCCACCCACACCUCCAUUUCCUACCUCCCACCUCAUCCUGCCUCCUUGACUUGUCCAUCUUUCCUGGACUGACCUAUCCCCUCCCUCCCUCCUCACCUGUACUGUCCUCUCUACCUAUCUUGUUUUCUCUCCAUCUUUGGUCCGCAUCCCCCCCUCUCCCUAUUUAUUCCACUUCCCUCUCCCAUCCCCCUCUCUGAUGAAGGGUCUAGGCCUGAAAUGUCAGAUUUUGUGCUCCUGAGAUGCUGCUUGGCCUGCUGUGUUCAUCCAGCUCCACACUUGGUUAUUUUGGAUUCUCCAGCAUCUGCCAUUAUCAGUGGCCUUUCCUCUUUGUCAAAGUUUGUGCAAAAGCAACACGAUAUGGGGCGGCACGGUGGCUCAGUGGUUAGCACUGCAGCUUCACAGCACUGGAGGCUCAGGUUCAAUUCCAGCCUCAGGCAACUGUUUGUGUGGAAUUUGCACCUUGUCCCUGUGUCUGCGUGGGUUUCCUCGAGGUGCUCCGGUCUCCUCCCACAGUCCAAAGAGGUGCACGCUAGGUGGAUUGGCCAUGCUAAAUUGCCCAUAGUGUUCAGGGGCAUGGGUCUGGGUGGGAUGCUCCAAGGUUUGGUGUGCACUUGUUGGGCCAAAGGUCCUGUUUCCACACUGUAGGGAAUCUAAACAAAUCUGUUCCAACAUCUCCAUGUUAUAACCCUGCUGAUCACUGCACACAGAGAUGUUUGUUAACAAAAGGAUAACAAUAAUAUUCAAACCCAGUGCUGGAGAUGUAUUUUAAAUCCACUGAGGCCAGUGUCGAUCUCCAAUUCAACUUGUAUUUACAAAUGACCUGUCUUCAACUUUAGCACUGCCUCAUUCAGAGAUAGUUGCCAGGGUGUCAGCAUCUCUGACCCUCACACAACUUAUCUGUCAGCCAGGGCUCCCUGAUUUGAGCUAUUAAUAUGGACCAAUCAGGCAACUCAUAUUCUGUGAUGUUCAACUGGCCGACCUGGUCACAAACCAGUGCGGUGUGUUCGUCGAAAAUCAAACAUGUACUCGAAAGGUACCAUUACAUACCAGUGCAAAGGAAGGCAUGAGGCUAAACUGGGGAGGGAAGGGAACUGCUUACUGGGGGUGGCCCAGAGAGUGGAAGAAAAUCGAAUGGGAAGAAGACCAUUUGAGACUGAGGGAGAGAGAUGUAAUUGCCUGAAUGAGGCAUUCCAAUUGCGAAAUGGAUUUUUGUGUGUACACCAUGUUCAGUUUCCCCGAUCUUAAUCUGUACUCCUCUUUAAAUCAUUAGUAUCUGAAAUUUCUGUAUCAUUUCCAAAUGCUCUGUCUCUAAUGUUAUGCUGUUGGAAUUGGUUGAACUGCAGAGAUAUCAUUUAUUUGCACAAAUGUGUUCAGUGAAAUGAGUUGCAUGCUAUAUAUGUAUUAUUCUUCCUGAUUCUAUUAUACGCAUACAAAUUAAAGUUAGUUCCACUUUUGAACAACAAA